rnacentral:rRNA from 1 species
UGGGGAAUAUUGGACAAUGGGCGCAAGCCUGAUCCAGCCAUGCCGCGUGAGUGAUGAAGGCCCUAGGGUUGUAAAGCUCUUUCGCCAGGGACGAUAAUGACGGUACCUGGAUAAGAAGCCCCGGCUAACUUCGUGCCAGCAGCCGCGGUAAUACGAAGGGGGCUAGCGUUGUUCGGAAUCACUGGGCGUAAAGCGCACGUAGGCGGAUCUUUAAGUCAGGGGUGAAAUCCCGGGGCUCAACCUCGGAACUGCCUUUGAUACUGGAGGUCUCGAGUCCGGGAGAGGUGAGUGGAACUGCGAGUGUAGAGGUGAAAUUCGUAGAUAUUCGCAAGAACACCAGUGGCGAAGGCGGCUCACUGGCCCGGUACUGACGCUGAGGUGCGAAAGCGUGGGGAGCAAACA